CUUCAGAGAACUUCUACCUUAGUGAAAUUUCAAAAAGUCCAGUCAAAUGAGUAUUGUGCAGAUAUCUCUUUUAAGGUAAAGAAUGAAUUUAGCAUGUGGAUCUACUACAACUAUGAAAGAAAUACAUUGUCUAGUGGUCCUUUUUGGAUAUUGGAGGCAGCAUAUUGCCCACUUAGGUGUGUUACUCCAACCCAUUAUCCAGUGAUCCAAAACGCUGUUAGGUUCCACUGGCACCAGAAUAAAAUAAGGCUCUGCAACAGGUCCAGCAUGCUGUGCAGGAUCAUCUGCCACCUUUGUCAUAUUACAAAAGACUCAAUUAUUCUAGAAGUUUCAUCAGCAGGAUUUGUUUGUAGCUUUAACAGCUCUUAUAGAUGUAUCACAGGGAAAGCUUUUAGGAUUUUGGAGAAAGGCUCUGCUAUCACCUGCAGAUAUCUACAUAUUUGUGAGAAACAAUUAUUGGCCUGUUAGUGAGCCUACCAGUGACUGAAUGCAUGAACAUGGGCCACAUAGUUACCAUAUGACCAGAGCUUCCCAUCAUAAACUGGGUAUUAUGUCACCCACCAAGCCGUAAAGUUUGGAGCGCACUGAAAUACUGCAUCAUGAAAUUAAAGUGGUAUAUACAUGACUGGGUCAGGGCAAACCCUGAAGGCACAGGUAAUUACAUGAAGUGGCCCAAAUGUCCACAUCUUUAAUCCUGCUACACUGCUUUCUUUUUCCCAAAUUGCAUGUACAGAAUCAUGGAGAAAUCCCUUAGAUCAGUUGACAAAGGAAUAAAAGAUGGAGGGCUGGUUUAUAUCUGGUUCUGGAAUGCAUGCAGAUACUCCCAAAAUGUGGAGAGCUGUAUCACUAUAUCCCAUCUCUCAGACAUCUCUGAAAAACAGUGGUGAAGGGAAAUUAUUCCAGUGGCAGAACUUGGAGCAGUAUACCUGAUAAUUCUCUUUGAUUCUAAGGGCAAAUGUCCAGAUGUGUGAUUAUAUACUGAUUCUUGGGCUGUGGGUGAUGGUGUGGCUUGGUGAUCAGGGACUUGAAAGGAUAUUGAGUGGAAAAUUAGUGGCAAUAAAACUUGGGAAAGAGGUAUGUGGAUAAAUCUCUCUAAAUGGGCCAAAUGCCAUAAGAUAUUUUUGUCCUAUGUAAAUGCUCACCAAAAUGUGACCUCAUUAGAGGUGGAUUUCAGUAAUCAAAUGGAUAAUAUGACACGUUUGGUGGAUACCAGUCAGCUUCUUUCCCCAGGCAUCCCUGCUAUUAACAGUGGGCUCAUGAAGAAAGAGGUCAUGAUGGCAAAGAUGGAGAAUAUUAUGGUCAAGAACAUUGACUUCCAGUCACCAGGGAUGAUAACCCAGUUUUCCAGCAAAGGACAGCAACAUUAAUUUUCUCAUAUAUGACCUUUCCCCAAGGAGUUCAGUCAGCUACCUUGUAGCAGGUUGGCUACAUUGGACUGCUUCCAUCAUGGAAGGGGUGGUUUUUUGUCCAUACUGGGAUACACACUUCCUCUGAAUAUGGAUACCUCCUCUGUAUGCAGUGCUUCAAGCAUCUGUGUAUUAAGAAAAUGCAUUAUCUACUGUCAUGUUAUACAACUCAGCAUUGUUUCAGAUCAAAGAACUCUCUUCUCAGAAGAAAAGUAUUUGAAUGGGUCCAUACUUAGAGAAUUCACUAUCUUAUCGAGUUCCCCACCAUUCUGAAGCAGCUGGCUUGAUAGAAUGAGAGAAGUGCCUUUUGAAGACUCCAUUACAAAGCCAGUAAGGUAGAAAUAUAUUGCAGAGCUGUGGCAAGGUUCUCUGGGAGGCUAUGUAUGCUAUUAAUUAGCAUCCAAUAUAUGGUGCUCUUUCUCUUAUAUCCAGGAUUCAUGGGUCCAAGAAUCAAGGCAUUGAAAUGGGAGUGGCACCAUUUUUGCUUCCUGUUCCCUUGACUUUAAUCUCCGCUAUUCUUAGAAGGAUGGUGCCCACCAGUAAAGAAAACAAUUCCCCUGAAAUAGAAUUUAAAUUGCUGACUGGUCACAUUGGGCUCCUCAGGUCUCCCAAACAACAUACAAGGAAGGGAAUUUGGGUACUGAUUAAGGUGAUUGAUUCUGACUACUGUCAGAGAAAACCCUUAGCUAGACAAGUAUUAAAGUGUUAAAAACAGAUGUAUUCAGGACUACUGUAAUAGAAUAAAAGAGUCCUCAGUGUUGAGUUGGGGUCAGUUCUGAAUUUGGCAUAAACAAGUGGGAAUUCAUAGUCAAGGAGACUGAGGGGGUCAAAGGAUGGAAAAUUAGUAGGAGGAAACAUGAAGGGUAAGAGGAUUUUGGCUAAACAGAUUUGACGGGAUUUUUGCUUAAAAUAGGCCAGGUUUACCAGACAUCACCUGGUGGAUGGUGGAGGAUAAGAAACAUGAUUAGAUAUCAAGGGUGAGAAGAUAUGGAGGAUAUGGAACUCUUGUUAUACUAAGUUAGAAAUAUUCUCUUGCUGAGAAUUUUACAAGCAAUUGUCCAGGAAGUUUCAGGAGCCACACUACAGUUUGGUGAAGCAAAGAAUCCUUGUUCCCCCUCCAGCCCCCAUUUUUCAAAGGAAUGGAGAGACAUUGUUACUUUCAUAGGACAAUAUAAGUCCAUUUCUUCUUCAGUCACCUAUUGUUCAUUAAGAACAUGUUGAGUCAUCUGUUUUUUAAAGAUUGGCACCUGAGCUAACAGCUGUUGCCAAUCUUAUUUUCUUUUUUUUUCUCUGCUUUUUCUCCCCAAAUCCCCCCAGUACAUAGUUGUAUAUUUUAGUUGUGGGUGCUUCUACUUGUGGCUCAUGGGAUGCUGGCUCAGCAUGGCCUGAUGAGUGGUAUCAUGUCCAUACCCAGGAUCCAAACUGGCAACACCAGGCUGCCGAAGCAGAGUGCUCAAACUUAACCACUCGGUCAUGGGGCCAGCCCCCUUGAAUCAUCUUUUUAGACUUGGUACUAGAGGGUCUGCUUUCUGGUUCUACUCAUCAGGUGUUUAAUGAGGUGGAGUUUCUAUGAAAAUAACAGAAAAACAAAGGUUAAUAUGAAAAAAAAGUUUCUGAUUCCAGAGUGCAGCUUUAGAGAAGAUUCCUAGACAUUAGUCUCAAUGCAUCAGUAGAUGAUGGAGUGAGGACAGCAGUGGCAAUCCAAUUGAUUCCUGGUUUGCAGUUUGAGUAUCUGUGGUAAUGGCAUCAGCUCUUCCAGUGAACUUUCUGAGUGACCCACACAGCACAGGUGCAAAUUUUGUCUAUACAUGAUCUGCUAUGGUGAUUGCCUUGAGGUUUAUAUCAAAUCAUCCAGCUUCAACUUGUAGAACUUCAGGAAAAGAAAAGUUUUGGUUCUCAAUGUUUCUAGGUCAGAUGUGAAAAAAAUGGGAAAAUUUAAUUUGGAGAGAUAUUCAAGAAAACUAGAAGAAUUCAAGCUUUGGCAUGACUCACAAAAUGUGCAAGAUGAAAACCACAAGGGCACAUUAUAGCUUUCCAUUGAAAUGUAAUUUUUCUCACUACAGUCACCAUCAUUCAGUGAAAGGUAAUCAAACUAAGAUUAAUUAGUUUCAAAAUAAGUCAUCUCACUAAAAUUGAUCUGACUAUUUGCAUAAGUGGAGCAAGAAGAGUGAUUGAGUACAUAUAUCUUGAGUUUGCUUUGCUGGAUCUUUUCAUAAGGAAUCUCAGAUUGUAGUUUUCAGACUCUUGGAGUCGGAAAACCAAGUCAAUAACUCGCCACCAGAUUUUGCCUGCAGUACCUAAACAUUUGGGUGAAUUCCUCUCUUUUAGGUUACUGAGAAUAUCCUGAGAUUCCUGAGGCUGCCAGCAAGUGAUCUUUCUUACUGGCAUGCAUGGUGGGAAACUCUAUAAGAGGGAUACAGGGCAAACUAGGAAUUAAGCAAUCAUUACCUGUCUGGACUUAAUAUUCU
ensembl:lncRNA